CAGGAUGAACGCUGGCGGCGUGCUUAACACAUGCAAGUCGAACGAGGGUUGCUGGUUGAAGUUUCGGAUGGAAACCGGUAAUUCCUAGUGGCGGACGGGUGAGUAACGCGUGGGGAACUUGCCCCGCUCCGGGGGAUACCAGCUGGAAACGGCUGUUAAUACCGCAUAAGCGCACAGCAUUGCAUGAUGCAGUGUGAAAAAACUCCGGUGGAACGGGAUGGCCCCGCGUCUGAUUAGCCAGUUGGCAGGGUAACGGCCUACCAAAGCGACGAUCAGUAGCCGGCCUGAGAGGGCGACCGGCCACAUUGGGACUGAGACACGGCCCAAACUCCUACGGGAGGCAGCAGUGGGGAAUAUUGCACAAUGGGGGAAACCCUGAUGCAGCCGACGCCGCGUGAGUGAGGAAGUAUUUCGGUAUGUAAAGCUCUAUCAGCAGGGAAGAAGAUGACGGUACCUGCACAAGAAGCCCCGGCUAACUACGUGCCAGCCGCGGC
rnacentral:rRNA from 1 species